ACGAACGCUGGCGGCAGGCUUAACACAUGCAAGUCGAACGCUCCGCAAGGAGAGUGGCAGACGGGUGAGUAACACGUGGGAAUCUACCCUUUACUACGGAAUAACGCAUGGAAACGUGUGCUAAUACCGUAUGUGUCCUUCGGGAGAAAGAUUUAUCGGUAAGGGAUGAGCCCGCGUUGGAUUAGCUAGUUGGUGGGGUAAAGGCCUACCAAGGCGACGAUCCAUAGCUG
rnacentral:rRNA from 1 species